rnacentral:misc_RNA from 1 species
ACAAACUUGGUCAUUUAGAGGAAGUAAAAGUCGUAACAAGGUUUCCGUAGGUGAGUGAUAAACCCCCUUUAAUCUCCCAUAUGUGACCUGAUAGCUAACUUCAAUCUAGGUGAACCUGCGGAAGGAUCAUUAUCGAGAGUUGGGCCUUUGGCCCGCACCCUCAACCCUUUGUGUACCUGCUCUGUUGCUUUGGCGAGCCGUCGGGGCGCCUGGCCUUCGGGUCGGGCCGUCCCGCCGUCGACCCAUGUGGCCGGCGCGCGCUCGCCAGAGGUUAUUCAAACUCUGUGUAUUGUCAGUCGUUUGGACCCGCAGGGUCUUAUGAUUAAAUUCAUGUUAAAACUUUCAACAACGGAUCUCUUGGUUCCGGCAUCGAUGAAGAACGCAGC